UACGGAGGGUGCAAACGUUGCUCGGAAUCAUUGGGCGUAAAGCGCACGUAGGCGGCCUGUUAAGUCGGGUGUGAAAGCCCUCGGCUCAACCGAGGAAGUGCAUUCGAAACUGGCAGGCUUGAGUAUGGAAGAGGGUCGCGGAAUUCCCGGUGUAGAGGUGAAAUUCGUAGAUAUCGGGAGGAACACCAGUGGCGAAGGCGGAGACCUGGGCCGAUACUGACGCUGAGGUGCGAAAGCGUGGGGAGCGAUCCGG
rnacentral:rRNA from 1 species